rnacentral:rRNA from 1 species
AGGAAGCUGCGGACUGCUCAGUAACAGACAUAUAAUUUAAUCUUUACAGAAACGAGCGGAAUAAACUCAGGAAACAGAGUGCAAUACGUAAAAGACGAAUUUUUUAUUAUAAGAAAUACGUUUUUAGCUUGAACAAAGCGGUAAAGAAUAAGUUGUCAGCCUAUCAGUUAGUAAGUAGGGUAAGGGCCUAUUUAGACGAAGACGGGUACGGGGAAUUAGAGUUUGAUUCCGGAGAGGGAGCCUGAGAAAUAGCUACCAGGUCCAAGGACGGCAGCAGGCGCGAAAAUUACCGAAGCUCGAAUAGAGGCGGUAGUAAUGAGACGUAUUAAUAUAAAACAAGGGUAAAAAACUUGUUAGUAACUGGAGGUCAAGUCUGGUGCCAGCAUCCGCGGUAAUACCAGCUCCAGGGGUGUCUAUGAUGAUUGCUGCGAUUAAAAGGUCCGUAGUCGAAUUUAUAUAAUUGUUUGUAAUAUGCUAGAUAAAAUAACAGAAAGAACAAUUACUUUAAAUGAAAGGAAUAGUAAGGGGCUGAUUAAUUGAGCAACGAGAGGUGAAAUUUGAUGACUUGCUUAGGAGAAACAGAGGCGAAAGCGUCAGUCAAGUAUAAAUCCUAUGAUCAAGGACGUAGGCUAGAGUAUCGAACACGAUUAGAUACCGUAGUAGUUCUAGCAGUAAACUAUGCCUACACUAUCGAAUAAAAGUUUGGUAGAAGAGAAAUCUUAAGUAGGGCUUUGGGGAGAGUACACGCGCAAGCGAUAAAUUUAAAGGAAAUUGACGGAAGAACACCACAAGGAGUGGAGUGUGCGGCUUAAUUUGACUCAACGCGGGACAGCUUACCAUACCCGAGGACUAUAAGAGUGAAUACACGAUAAGUCUAAAAGUGGUGCAUGGCCGUUAUCGACGAGUGAAGUGAUUUUAUGGUUAAAUCCGACAAGUUGUGAGACCCU